rnacentral:lncRNA from 1 species
AUAAGUUUGAUAUAACAAUAAUUUUUGUGGCAAAAAUUAACAUAUCCCAACGAAAAAAUAUAAAAAUGACAACAAAUAUUAUCGUUGACAAAAUUACUAACGGCAACAAUACUAAAUUUCGCUGCAAAACUUUUUGCAACGCAACUUAUCGCAACAACCUGCAGCGACUUUUUUGUUGUUGGGGUAAAGCUCUUUUCCGUCGACUUUUUGCGUUUACCAACUACUUUUUUCGCUGCAAAAAAUCUAUUUUCCUGUAGUG